GACAGAGGGGGCAAGCGUUGCUCGGAAUUACUGGGCGUAAAGGGCGCGUAGGCGGGAUGGCAAGUCGGUCGUGAAAUCCCUGGGCUCAACUCAGGGGGGUCGGCCGAUACUGCCAUUCUUGAGGGAUGCAGAGGAGACUGGAAUUCCCGGUGUAGCGGUGAAAUGUGUAGAGAUCGGGAGGAACACCGGUGGCGAAGGCGGGUCUCUGGGCAUUCCCUGACGCUGAGGCGCGAAAGCGUGGGGAGCAAACAGG
rnacentral:rRNA from 1 species